GUGGAGCCCGAUCAAGUGGCUCCCGGACGAGGGGUGCCGUACCCGGAGUGCGACAAGACGGCCCGUG
rnacentral:ncRNA from 1 species